GGAUAAAACAGCUUGGUGGUUCAGAGCAGCUCUUUCUUCUCAGCUCUAUUUUGUACUUGAUAUAGCUGUUCUGUUCACACACCUUGCAAUCUGUGAAGUUAAAAUUAACCUAUUUGCCAACCUGCGUCUCAGUGAGAAACUGAAAAAUUACACCUUCUCUACGCACUAGACAGUGUUUUCUAGUGCAUCUUUGAUGAAGAAUAUGUUAAAAGAAGAGAUGGCUUAAAGGGAAAAGACUGAGUUCUCUCUGCACUUAGUUUAUUGCCUUGGAAGAGUCCUCUGCAAAUGUCAAAAGCUGGAUUGAGAGAACAGGAUGUGACAUGGAAGUCGCUCAGUUGCGUCUCCACACACGUUUUUGAAACGGGGAAUCAAAUUGUGCCAGUGUAACUGUCAGAUUUGGGCAUAUGGAACAAUCUAAGGAAUCUGACUCUUUCCAGUAACAAGUUUAGCAACUUCCUUUUAAGAGAGAGAGAAAGAAAAACAGCCACUGUGCUCACAACCACUGGUUAUCUUCAGUCAACGGUUCAAAGGUUUCCACUUCUCCAUUCCGUCUCUGUCUGACAUUUCCUCAACUUCAGGAAGAGGUGGUUUUCUGGGCUUGUAGCCAUGCCUCAUUGGGUGCAGGUGCUUACUUUUGUUUACGAGUUUUCUGUACAUCAAUAUCAGCAAGAUGGAGGCUAUCAACAUUGUACUUAAUUAAUGGAUUCUGGAAUUCUGCAGUGCACAGAGGCAUCCAUCCAUGAACAAAAGUGCCUCUGUGGGAGUAAUGUGAUCCAGCGCCAUCCAUCCAGGGUUUCGGGAGGAGUCUCGUCUACCUGUGCAUACAGUAUUAGGCAGACAGACAUUGGUACAGCUGCAGAACCAGCAGGAGCCAGCGAACCUGCCCCGGCCCCUCUCCACUGCAGAUGGAGAAAACCUGCUGACUUGGGCAGACACCCAUGGACCAGAGAGACUAUGGAAGUCCAGCCUUCCCAAGGGGAGAUUCCAGCACUCUGUUGGAGAAUCCUGGGGGGAAGGGCGAGGAGCUGAGGUGGAUGAGGAUACUCACUGAUGGGGACACAGCCGUUUUUGGAAGGGCCAUGAAGUAAAAUGAGUGUUCCUCUCCACUAGCUAAAAAUAAUGAACUCUUAGGGGGCGCUUUCCAUGGGCACUCUUCUGACAGCUGUAAGUGUUAACCUCCUUUCAUCCUCACAGCAAUAUGAUGAGUUAGGUGUUAUUACUCUCCCCAUUUUCCAGAGGAGAAAAUUGAGGCACAGGGAAGUUAAGUCAGUUGCCCAAAUGUUACCUGGCAAAUAUACAGGAGACCCAGGAUUUGAACUUCAGCAGUCUGCUUCUGGGGCUUUUGCACUAUGUAGUUCAGUCCCUCAGCUCAGGGAGCCUGUUGGAGGCAUGCACGCUGCCCAUCCACUGUACUCUCUCUUCCCUCCAGGCUUCUGCAGAAAAAGCUCAUGCUAGUAUCCUGGGAGAUGGGGAGGGAGUGCUGUAACCAUUAAGAACGUCCUAUGAAGGAGAGGAUGAGAGAAGAUAAAGGUAGCUGGAAUAAGCUGAGAAUUUUCCAGAGCCAACAAAGGCAGCACAACACUUUGGGGCAUUUCUCCUCCCUGUGGCCUCUGUCGGUGGGACUUGGGUGCGUUUGUACAGAAGCCAGUUAGCCCUCGUUUGGCUGUUAGUUUUGCUGGCCGGCAUCAGCAGCUUAGCCCAGGAACAGAGAGGCAUGGUCCACUUUCCCCAGGAUCAAGGGUUGACAGCGUGGGCUGUUACACAUUAAAGGUAAAAAUUUUGAGGAAUCCCAGGGUGCUGGCAAGGAUACGGUUGCAAUGCCUGACCUUGAGAUUGGAUGUGGAGAAAAGUGAAGCUGAGAGACUAGGGGGCUGGGAGACAUGCAGGUUGGUGUCAGAUGGAGGACAAACAGCAUCAGAGUGGGGAGUUUGGAAGCUGAGAGGUGCUGGCUGCAGCAAUGCUUAUGAAUGACUGAAAGUGGCUCAGGUAAACAGUGGGAGAUCAUCAGCGAGGAACUGAGAGAUGAAGAUGUUGAAGGAAUCAUUACGUGAACAUUGAGGUCGCUGAGUCUGUUGGCGAUGCUAGAGGCCUCCUAGAAGUGUUCUUGAGUGGGUGGAAGGCAGUGUGAUCUGAGAUGUUCUGAAUUACCUUUCACAGAGCCAACUGUGAUCAAUGGGCAACUAUUAAGUGAUAGCGGUAGUAAGAGGCAGGAGAGACCACCGGUUAGGGAAGGAUUUAUGGAAGAUGUGGUACUUGAGCUGAGCCUGAUGGACUGGCCUGAGAGGAGGUCUGUGAAGUAGUAGGAGCAGAAGCAGUGAUGCAGCAAAGCAUGAGACAAGCUGUAGAGGAUUGCUUAGAACUUAUCCCACUAUAUAAUUGUUGCACUUUGUAAUGAUCAGUUGUGCAAAUGUGUGUAUUACUUAUUAAUAUAAAUUGCAUUAAGGGGCUUGAUUUGAUGAUAUGCUGCCUAGUUACCCCAAGAACCAUUGAAGGACAGUACAUUAUGCCAGCACAAUUACUGUAGUUACAAAGAGGCCAGUUCUUUUUGGAAAAUUUACCUCUGAAUUUCUGAGACAGGCAAGUGUAUUAUUAUAAAGAAAUAGGGAGCCAUGUACAGACCCUUGUCUCUUUCUGUUUCUUAUUACCAAGAUGUUCUUUAUUUAUUAUUUUGUUUCCAGGGAGGAGGAAGGGGGUGGGGGGAAGGACCCCUGAACAUAAUACUCCCGCCCUUUUCCCUAGAGCUGGCCCUGGCCCUGCUCAGAAGCUACUCUUUUUUUGAGAUGCUGCUGCAUGAAAAAACUCUACCAGAUAUCUUACUAGUUACUGCAUCCAGAAAACCUGGAUCCUAGUGUGCUGGGCUGUGUGGGUUAGAAAGUUGGCUUAGAGAACUUGCUUUAAAAGAGUCUUUUAAAGCAGAAUAAAAAGGCUUUAAUGUUUUGGAGAGAAAAGAAA
rnacentral:lncRNA from 1 species